CACCCUCUCCAGCGCUUAUUCUUUGUAGACUUUGUAACGAUGGCCAUCCUGACUGGUGUGAGGCAUUGUAGUUUUCAUUUUCAUUUCUCUAUUAGUGAUGUUGAGCAUCUUUUCAUGUGCCCAGUAAGCCCAUGCUCAUCUUAAUCCCAUGUUGCGUUCUGAGUGAAAGUAUGUAGUUUCUACUUUACCAGCAUCACUUUCUUGGUGGCAACUUGGUCAGUGCCGGUCAUGCCUGGGGCUCAAGUCAACUGCUGCCCUCCACCUGUCAGCUGGGGUCAGCCCAGUUUCCAAUCCAGCUUUGACCUCAGCAGGAUCCACUAGGAAUUUCAGCCCACUAGCCGGUGGAGACAGGGACUAGCCAUCUGGUCACAGACCUCUCCUUGAAACUCAAAGGAGACCCAGGGUCUUGGUCAGCCUUUCUAUCAGCUGCCCAGACUUCUGGCUCAUUGCUCCCUGUGCCAAAGCUUUACCUACAUUAUUCCCCCAUCUGUAGAUGAAGACAGUGAGGCUCAGAGAGGUUAAGUAACUUACCCAAGAUCACUCAGCUACUAAGUGCCCAAGACAAGAAACCCAGUUCUUCCUAAACUCAGAGGUCCUCACCCAGCCUGCCCUCAUGCUUCCAUGUUGAACCUCCACUUUCUCCUUGGUUCUGUUGCCCCUGUUUCUUUGUCUUAGAUUACUGAAGUGUUGUUCCGAGUAGCUCUGUUGCCCAGAACCCUGGCCUAGUUGAUCUGACUAGUACAGCUGACCAGAACCCCUGCUGGACUGAUCACCUGUGGAUCCAGGCCCGAGGCCACAUCAGGCUCACCACUCUGACCACGCCGUGCCAGGCAUGGGCUCUUGGGCUGCUUCCAGGUCUGCUCUGUCCAGUCCAUUUCAAUCACCAGCCCCUGCCCUCCUGGUCCCACGCCCCCACCUCCCCCACAGCAGCCCCAGCUGCUGAGGUCACCCCAGCAUGGCUGCUGCUGGACCCAUCUUUGGACCCAGGGUGGUAGGACACAGAGCAGCUGGGGGUUGGGAAGCUUGCGCCCUGCUCCCCCAGGCACUGGCUGUUUGAGUCACGAAGCCACCCUGAGUCAGUUUCCUCAUCUGUAAAGGGGGGUGACAAGUCCAGGAGUUGAGACUACCUGCUGUGCCAGUGAACCUCCACGCACACCCGGUCAUGCCCACUCCCCAGCCCACACAAGCAGGGCAACUCAAAGGGCACAACUCACACCCUCCGCUCCCACCCAGGAUCUGGCCACACAGGAAGAACAAAGGCAGCAUCAGCCUCGGAGGACAAACUCAACUUCAGGCUGCUGUGGACUUGACCUCAAAGGAGAGCAAUGAAGACGGCUGUGCCCUCUGCCCCAUGAGACUCCAGCCAGCUGACCCUUCGCACUCCACUGAGAGCAGUUCCUGCCUUCAACUUCAAGUUAAAGGGUACCCAGGGUCUGAGCUCGGGAUGGAGGGGUGACUCGUAGGCUUCUGGUGCCAAGCAGAUGCUGGAAUCCUGCUUCUGCCACCUGCUAGCUGGGUCGCUUUGGCCCGGUCUUGCAGAUACUUUCCCAUAUCUAAAGUGAGAAGCCCCUCAGGGCUGUUGGAAGGGUUAAAUAUGCCCCCAAGUCGUAAGUCAAAGUGCCUGGCGUGUGGCAGGUCCUCGGUGCAUGUGUUUUCUGCACAUUUUUUAGUGGUUCCUGGACAGUCUGUGGUGAUGCCCAAUGCGUUCCCUGUGGCGGGCACCCUGUACCCAGUGCUCAUUCCCCCCUUGUCUGGCCCCCAGGCUCAGCACUUAUCUGCACCAGCACCUCUAAUUCUGAUGCCCAGUCUUUGAUGCUCAGGCCCCUGCCUGGGUCAUGCAUGACCUGGGGUGGGCAGGGUGCACCAAAGAGAAAACCGGAAAUCCACGACCCCAGACCAAGCUCUGCCCCUGACUCGAACUUCUGGCCAAGACACUUCACUUUGUUUCUAAACCUCAGCUGGAAAAAAUGGACACUCCAGCACUUAUUCUGCCUUCAUCAUGGACAUGUGGCCAGGUCGAGUUGACAGACUACCUAUCCUCAGGUGGUUGUUGUGAAGAUUAAUCCACACAAAGCUCUUCAUCUGUGUUAAAACUGUUAAUUCUGCCCAUUGCCCUGUGAAGUUGACAAGUCAGGGGUGAUCCUCACCUCUCUUCUGAUGAGGAGGGAAUGGUGGAGACUGUAACUCAGGGACAGAGCCUCUGCCUACAGACGCAGCAGGUCCCACCGGCCAGCCCUUGAGAUCCCUGCAGAGAGGAAGUUAGGACAAUGCCCUCGGAGGUGGGAGGGUUCCCUUCAGAGCAGCUGGGGAAUAAACCGGAUCUGCCAACAGUUUCAGUCACAGGACAUAGGAGGCUGGAGGUGGCUUUAGGUCUGAGUCAGAAGCUAUAUACCCGAAUGGGCUUGCCUGACAUCCCGACCUGUGAACAUCUUCACAGUGGCCUCCUUGAGGUCCCUCUGUCUAGUCUGAUUUCCAGAGAAAUAGAAGAGCUACCAUUUAUCAAGCAUUAUGAGCCAAGCAUGUUAACACAUAAUCUUAAUCCAUUCAAUCACACUAUAAGGAAGUAUUAUUAUCCCCAUUUUAUUGGGGCCAAAACUAAGAUUCAGACAUAGCUGCUAAGCGGCAGAGCUGUGAUUCAAAGCCAGGUCUGUCUGACUCCAGGACUGCGGCUCCUAGCGAUUAGGACAGCAGCAGUUUGCGUCAGAGUCACCGGAGCGCUUGACAAAGUGCUCACCUCCGCACCUACCCGCAGGGAUUCUGAUUUUUCAGGUCUAGGGUGGGACAUGAGCAUGCGCAUUUUUUAACAAGUGCCCAGGUGGUGCUGAUGCUGCUGGUCAGGGAGUCCCACUUGGAGAAGCAAGGUGCUGGACCACCAAAGAUGGAUGAGGGGCUGUUAGGAGCUCACACACGCCCUGAACAAAGAGAAAGCAAGGGCUCCAUCUGCUCCAGUUCCAGUCAAGUGAAGGCUCAGGACUGAAAAGUCUUUCAAGAAGCACUGUGGACACUCUACAUCGUUCCUUAAAGCGAUCACAGAUCUGGGGCAGAGACUGCAUUUAAGUGCCAAGCUCAUCUGUGGUUCAGAAGGUAAAGAAUCUACCUGCAGUGCUCGAGACUGGGGUUUGAUUCCUGUUUUGGGAAGAUCCCCUGGAGAAGGGAAUGGCAACCCACUGCCGUAUUCUUGCCUGGAGAAUUCCACGGUCAGAGGAACCUGGUGAGCUACCAUCCAUGGGGUCGCAAAGAGUUGGACACGACUGAGUGACUUAACACUUUCAUCUUCUCCACCAACCCCCAAGGUUGGCACCCCGUGGCUUUACUCAUGGCUGCAUCUUUCCCCCCUGCUCCCUUCAGCAUCAAUAUUCAGGAAGAAGGAGAGAGUGAGAACAGGUAGGGCCUGAGGGCCCAGCCCACCGCUUGCAGUUGGCAGGUUGGAGGGAGCUGUGGUCUCACUCCCUCUGGGGCACCCUGGGGAGUGGUGGGGUGGGGGUGCCAGGCCACCUCCUGCCAGGGAUGGGGUCACACCUCCUGCCUGUUCCCGGGUGCUCAUUAGCUGCUGAGGUAGUGUUAACUGGUUCUCAUUUUGCUGAGUCUUUGCUGAGACUCAAAAAGGGAAAUGAGCCAUUACCAAACAGCAGUCCUUUUUGAAACAGAAACUGAACUGACUGCGUUUUCUAAUAACAUCUUAUGAGCUCCAAAUGCAGAAAUCUGGCCUUCCUUUAUUAAAGUUGCCUUUCAGAAGUUGUCCCUGGCUCGCCUUCUGCUCACACAGUUCUGUGAAGGGGGAUGUGGAGGAUCAUCUGCCAAAUUGUGCCAGCCUGUUACAGCAAGCCUGUUGUGAGGAUAUCAGGAAAUUUCCCUCUCCUUGCUUUUUGCUGCUCCAGAACCUCAGGCUCUGCCAUGAUGGGUAAGGACUAGCCAGCUCAAUUCUUGAAAUAGAGAGCCAGGGUGCUGACCUCACAUUCAGGGGACUUUGAGCAAGUCGCUAACCUCUCCGAGCCUUAGUGUGCUUACCUGCAAAAUGGGGAUAUUAAUCUUGCAUAUCUUAAAAUCCUGAUCAGGUCAGAGUACCCUAUAAACUGCAAAAGGUAUACAUAGUUAUUUGCUCUCAUUAUUAUUCUAAAACUACUGUAGGUUCAUUUGUACCGCAUCCCAUGGGGCAAUGUAUCUGCAGAUCUAAGGGGACCUGACAGCAGAGAGGCCACACCUCUGGACCAUCCUCUGGGCACCCAGGAUCUCUUGCCUAAAUAGGCUCAAAGUACAACCUGGGCAGGCUCUUUACUCAGUCCAUCCCUCAAGGGCAGACUGCUUGAGGACCUUCUAGACUCAAGUGCUGGCUGUGUGCAAGUGGUGCUGAGUUGGGACAUAUGAGUUGGGGUAUCCACAAUUGUGCAUAGAAGACCUCUCCAGGUGUGGGAUUGAGCCACCACAUUCCAGAGUCAGAGAAUCCCAGGUUCAAACCUGCCAACCUUUAUGGCAUCCCAGGUUCCAUAAAGGUGUAUGUGUCAAGGUAGGCAAGAGAAUACAUUGCUACCUGAUGAUAACUAACAUAUUGAGAUACAAGAUAUAUGAGCCUCCAUUUGUAGUCUUGCCUGGGGGCCCACAGAUGUUCCUUUUUAUUACUAGAAGUUUGAAUUCCACUUUCUUUGAGUCAGGUCAACCUCUUAUUUUCCUCUUUGAGUAUGUCCUCCUAUUUCCUUUUCUCUGUCUUCCUAAAUAUUCAAAGCUGUGCCUUCCUUGGAAAUGUAGCCAGGACUAGUGGAAAUUCAUUGAGAUUCCAGGGGCCCUCUUUCUUCUCUCCUUUAAACCAUCUCUCACCCCCUAGAGACACACAGGGCAGACUGUGGGCAGGGUCUCCUAAGCAGUAUCCAGACAGUGGGUGUCUGUACUACUUUGGCAUAUGAAGAUAGAGCUCCAUGCUGCUGCCACCAUGGGGUUUAAAUGAUGGGGACUAGAUGAUGCUAAAAAUAAGUCAUGGGCUCCAUCCUGGGGUGUGGGGGAGGCCCAAGAAGUCUAGAAUUUUGUACAAAGAGCAACCAUAGGAAGAAUGGUGCUGCCUCAUCCUCCCCCAUCUCUAUUUUGGAAGGAUGCAGGUCCUCAGUGGCAGAAGCAGGGGAGGAUCUGGCUGGUGAGAGGAAGCAGACCUCAACUUCACGCCCCAUCAGGUUCCCCUACCUCUUCCGUGGCCUGGUGUUGCUGGUAUCGUGAUCCACAUUUUGCUCCAUAUAAAACCCUUUGCCAAUGACUCCUUUCCUAUUCAGACACCCUUUGACAAUGCAGACUCUGAUCCGGAGGUAGGGCUGCUUGCCUCUGAGUUAAGUCUCCCCUGCCCAGACAGUAAGACAGGAAGAGCUGCUCCUUCCCCUUACCUUCUGAGAUCCUGGGAAGAUGCAGACAGUGGUCAAACAGCUUUUUGUGCACAUUCUGUUCAUCUCACCUGUGCCUGGGAUGUUUAUAUGUAGAGGAGGAAGGACAUGGGGAGAAAAGGCUUCCAGUGGGCCCACUAGGAGGUAUCUCCUGCUCCCCACCUGCCCCACAGACCUUAAAAGAAUCAGACCAAAUUCUGGCUAUUAGACAACUCCCCGGACUGUCUGGCCACUAUUUUUUCCAAGUGUUGAGAGUGAACUAUUGGUAUUGUGCUGGGUGAAUCCACGUGCCAUCUAGCAGGGCAUUAAACACAGAAUCUCAGCAUGUGGCAGUUCUUCUCUUUUCAGUUCUUUUGAUCCUAAUUACCCGUUGGAGGAAAUUUUGGUUUAAUUCGUGAGUGUCUUCAACACUUUGCUAAAAACUUGCUCUUCUCCACUUUUAACAAAAUGACAUCAGACCUCACUUCACGAUCUUGCCCACUAAAUUGAGAACAAUGGUUUGUUUUUGUUUUUAUUUCUUUUUAUAGCUUAUCUUCUACUUAUGACAAGUGAUACUGGUUUUCCAAUACUGAUAUACAGUAUGUUUUCAUAGUAAAUUUAAGUAAACCAUCUGAGUUAAUGAAUAUCAAAUUUAAAAGAUACAGACAGUAUUUGGAUAUGGCUAAUGUAAUUCAAUCUUACUAUUUUAGAGGCAGGGAAACUGAGACCCAGAUAGGAGUCCUCAGAACCCAGAAUGGGUAAGUAUCUCUAACAUUUAGGAAGGACAGACAUUUCUCUUCCCUGAAAACCAUAGUCUGUUUUCUGCUUGAAUGUCACAGGCUAAGUGAUGUCCCCCCUUCUAAGUUCAGGCUCUCAUUAACUUGUUUCAGGGCUGGUGUUUUCACUACGUCCAGUUUAGCCAAUAAAAGUGAGAACUUUUGAAGUUACUGAUUAUCCCACUUAAACUCAGGGCACAAACUGGGCCAUUUUCAGAGACAAAGGGCUUCAUCACUGAAGCUAGGAGUGACUGGUAGGGAGAAGAGGAAUGAGGUAAAAAUAGAAGAGGAGAGAAGUUUAAGGAGGAAGUAGAAGACACAGCAGCUUCAACAUUUUUAAGGACCUGAAACUCUGGAGGGGGGCAGCUAAGUUUCCCAGACUGCCCCUGUUCCAAGUAGACAAAGCAAUAUGCCUCUGACAAAGUUCUGGCCAAAGUCACCCUUUAAUGCUGAUAGAACUAUUCCUUGUUACCACAGCUGUGAUGAUUCGCCACUAACCUUGCCUGAGCACUUGGUGGGUGUCUGGCACUUGGCUAACUUUUGACAUCCUCUCAUUCAUCCUCACAAGAAGCCUCUAAGUUAAAAUCUUGGCCUUUGGAGUUGCACUACAUGGGGUUGGAAAACUGGCCUCUUUGAGUGGUUCUGACUUUGACUUUGGUCAGGCAAAUUAAAUCCCUUCCUGAGCCUCAUUUUCCUCAUCUCUCUAAAAUAAACAUAAUAAUAUAUUUAUUUCUCAGGAUCAGAAUGCUUCUCUGUGAAAGUGAAAGUCAUUCAGUCUUGUCCGACUCUUUGCAACCCCAUGGAUCAUACAGUCCAUGGAAUUCUCCUGGACAGAAUACUGGAGUGGGUAGCCAAUAUAUUUAUUUCUCAGGAUCAGAAUGCUUCUAUAAUCAUAAACUUAUCAAGGGUAGAAAGUAAGCAAUCAACAAUGACGUCACUCAUUAUCAAGCAAUAUUGAUAUCAGCACCAGGAAGGCUAAGCUUCUGAUAGUCAUUCUACCCAAGGUCACAGAGCUGAACCAGGAUGCCUAAAUUGGUGGGAUAGGUCCAGGAGUGCUUGGGCCUCUGGGCUUCGGGGACCAGGGCUGAGGUGGCGCGACAGGGGCUCCUGGACAGGGACCCAGGCCGACUGGCUGGUGCUCCAAGCUGCCUCCAGGCCCCAGCCCCGUUCUCCUGGGGAUCGAACUGACCGGAGACUCAUACUGCAGUGACCUCCCAGGCGGGAUACGGCGAAUCCUCAGCCCUGCGAGGCCGUCCAGCCUAAUGACAGGUACCGAUGACCAGCCGGCCGCGCUCAACUGAUCUGGGAACUGAUCCCACACCUGCCUUCUGGACAGGAGGCUCCCAAAUGUGACUUCCGGGAGCCGCGGGGCAUGCCGGGAGCAGGCCAUACAGCCAAUCCCCGCGCGGGGGCGGGCAGCAGUUGCUUGGCAACGGUGCGGGCGCCCAAAAGAGGCCAGUAAGGCGGGGAGAACAGGUGUGCAAGCCCUGAGAGAUAGGCGACUUGCCAAUCCCGGAGGAGGUUGCUUUUCCAGUCCCCAUUUCCUUUACUCCUAGCUGGGCUUUAAGGAAAGAGAUUGCUGAGAAAAAUGACAAGAAUAAACCAUGAGAAGUAAUAAAGAUAUUCAUGUUUAUUGAGCACGUACCGUGGGCCUCCUCUUGACAGGGAUUAUUUCAUUUGAUCUUCCUUUGAUUUGAUUUCAUUUAAUCUUGACAGGGAUUAUUUCAUUUGAUUUUGCAUGGUUGCUGGCCUCAGUUUGUAAAUGAAUAACCAGAGGUUUCCACAGAGUAGGCACCUUGACCGAAGUAACUCAGCUAGAGAGUAGAAAGCUACCUAGGAAUUUGAACCUGGGUGGUCUUGAACCCAUGUGGUCUGUGUUCUUACUGAGUCAAGUAGUGGGCUCCCAUUUCAAUUCAGGAAAAGAAGUCUGAGUUCGUAUCUGCAGGCACCAAUCCAGGCUUUAUGAGGUCUGAAGGGUAGACAAUUUGGGGGCCCUUUUUAGGAAAAAACAAAUUGCAAUAUAAAAUUAGGUGCAAAAAAGAAAACUUGUUUAGAAUGAAAAAACAUUACAAAACACUUUUGCUAAUUUUCCAAAACUAUCUGACCAUGUGAACACGUUGCUAGGGCCCUACCCAAAGGCAUCCUUGGCCCUUAGCUCCCACUGAAGUCCUUGAGUCAGACAUCAAAUUGCUUUGCAGGCCUCUCUCCCCUCCUCUUGACCGCCCUGCAUCCCAGCCACAGGCCCUCUCCUGGCUGGGCCCUAGCAAAAUGCCUUUAGUAGGGCUUUUCUGGCUGUGACAGCAAGCUUGGCCUGCCCAGUGAGCAAGCUAAAGAGUCAGAGAGUUAACACACUUGGUUGGAAGCAGGCUUCAAACACUGAGAGGCCCAGAGAUGCUAACCUUUGGCAGUCAAGAAGGAUCACACCAAGAUGUCUUUUAUAUCAGUGACUCUUAGGGUGUGGUCCUUCAGCGCUUGGGAACCUGUUAGAAAUGCACACUCUCAGAUUUCACCCUAAACCUACUGAACUUGAAACUGGGUGGUGGGGUCCAGCAACUGAUAUUUUAACAAGACCCCUGGAGAGACUGAUGCACACUCAAGUGUGAGAACCACUGUUAUGCCACAGUGCUUCCCACAGUUCACCAUGGCCUGGACCUCCCAUGUCUACACUGGUAACACGCUCAAUAACGCACCUUUUUUUUUUGUCUCCCUCCUUUACUUGUCUCACUUUCUCCGUCUUCAACUGGGGCUUCCUAGGAUCAUCUCCAAUAAACUACCUGCGCUUGAGCCCCUGUCUCAGGCUGCUUCUAGGGGGAACACCAGCGCAGGUGAGAACAGGAGGAGGUGUCACUGCACAGUGAGCAGGAGGGUGGUGACUGGCACCCACUGAAUGGAGGCUGAAUGUUCUGCUAAAGGCUUUGUUUUCAUUGUUUCAAUCCCAACCCCACCCAUCCAUGAGGAAAUUGGGGUUGGAGGGUUACUAAGUGGUUUGAACUCAAAGAUUUGAACCCAAGACUACUUGAGUCCCAAGGGUAGGCUCCUUACAUGCAAGGGCAGAGGGCCAGCCUACAUCAUGUCCGUUUGUUGUUGCCGCUUCUCUCUGGGCAGGCAGGAAUUCAGUGUUGUCCUAGUCCCUUUGGACACAGCCGGAGCACUCACUAAGGGAUGCUGAAACGGUGAGUGCAUUGGCCUCACAGAGGCUGCAGCUGGAGAGGCGCCCUCGCUCCAGUGCUGAGUUCCCUUGGGUCCAAGGCUGGCCCCUGUGCCCGCCCUUCAGACCGCUUCUGUGCCCAAGCAUGUGCCCUUAAUCCAGAACUGCAGCCUCUUCUGCAGAUGUUGAAAUCUGGCCAGCUCUGCAACUGAGAGAGCUACUUGGGGGUGGGGUGAGCAGGGGUGAGUGCUGACCUCUGAACUCUGUUUCCCCUGAUGUUAGAGGCCCUAGUCACUUGGUUCUGCAUGUUUCCAGGAAACUCCAGCUCUCUCUGCCUUGUCACCUGCCCUCUAGGCUUGUAUGCUCCCGAGGGAUGCCCUUGCCUUCUCUGGGCUCACAGCACCUGGGGCUUGAGGUCCCAGCUGUCUUUCUUGUUAACAGUUUCUCCCUAGUCCCCUACCUGUGAUCCAGGAACGAUGGCUGUGUUAACAGUUUGGGGUGAGUGGAGGAAACAGACAAGAGCACAGGCCUCAAUCUUCGGCUCUGCUGUUGACUUUGAGCAGGACUUAAAAAAAAAAAAACUCUUCAGAGCCUUGUUUUUCUCAUCUGUAAAGUGGAGAGUGCACCUCCUCUUCCUCAAGGUUUUUCUAAUGAUGCUCAUGGGAGACAGCAAUGUAUGCACACGACACAGUCAUGAACCAUGAGGGGUGCAGUCUGCACCUAGGGUCUCCUGUUCCCUCCAUCACAAUGACGAGGGACCUGGGGCAUGGUCUUGGGUCCUCCAGGCCCUCUGGUCUGCCAGAAAGCUGCUGGUGAUGCCCAAAAGGGAGAGCUCUCCCCAGGACACUGCCAGCCCUUCCUUCAGGGUGGGAAGAGACAGGCUCACUUGAGCAAUCACUAGCUUAAGGAUGUUCCAUUGCCUCACCCUGCCAAAAAAUGACUCCCGAUCUCCAGUAGAAAUCAGGCCUCUCUAUAAUAAUUCCCCACCACAUAUUUGUUUUUCCUUUGUGGCAGUUAUCAAGAAUUGAAAUUACUUACUUGCCUUUUUUUUUAAGAUGUUUUUUAAAUGGAAAUUUGAGAACAAUUACAGAAGAAAACAGAGUAAUACAUUGCCCUCAUGUACCCAUCACCCAGCUUCAACAAUUGCCAACUCAGGGUCAGUCUUUUUUCACCUCUAUCUGGACUCACUACCCACUCCUAUACUAAUCUGAGGCAUCACAUCAUUUCAUCUGUAAAUAUCUUGGUGUGUGUCUCUGAAUGAUUAGGGCUCUUUUAUGAAAUAUAACCACAGUGCCAUGAUUACACUUAAAAAUGAGAAUUCCUUGCUCUGUGAUUAUUGUUAAAUGUCUGUCACCAGGCUGGGAGCUUCACGAGAGCCUUGUUCCUGGCUGUAUCCAUAGUGCCUGAGAGUUAGCACACUCUUGGCAUUUGUUUCACAGAUGGAUGGAUGGAUGGAUGAAAGGGAGAAAGGCAAGAGAUGCUGGGGACCCAGCCUGCUUUCUAUGGAUGCUGCUCCAUCCUUUCAGCACUGCGGUGUGAUCGUUGUGAUCGCUGCCUUGGAGGUCAACAGUUAUAUACUCUCUCUGACGUGAACAACACCAUAAACUUCUCAGUUUCUUUCCCUCCCAACCCGCCUUCAGCUUAAUCGGGCAGCAAGUCACUAAUCUUCUCCUCAUGGCUGCAGCCUGCUCCCUCUACUGCAGCUAAUUCCACCUUCUGACUUAAUCAUCAUCCUUAGGCUUUCAAUACAGGGCUUUGCAUCUUCAGAGCCGCUCAGGCAUUAGCUGAUUACUGUAAUCUGUCCGACUCCCAUGGCGUCAGCCAGCACAGGGCUUCUGUUACCCUCCUGGAUCCUCAGUUUCCUCAUCUGUAAAGCUGGGUGAGUGGGCCUAACUGGCAUUAUUGGUUGCAGAUUAAGUAAAAUGAAGUACAUCAAGUGCCUGUCCCCUGACACAUCAGAAGCCCUCAGGAAUGGUGAUUGUUUCCCAUUGUAAUUUCAGGGGAUGACUCUCACUGAAGAGCCAAACAGGUCUGGAUUUCAAUCUGGCUUUUUCCGCUUAAAGGAAAUAUUUUCUGAGCCUCAGCUUUCUCAUCCUUAAAAUGGGGUGAGCGGUGCCACCCUUUCAAAGUCUGCUAAAUGGAAUAAAAGCUGUGAUCUGUCUGUGAGGCACUGAGCAGAGUGUUGGGCACCUAGGAAGUGCUACGGAAGUCCUGGUGGUUCCUGCUCUUCCCAGAAGGAGGCAGAGACAGGGGAAGGAGAAGGAGGCAGUGGUGCCCUUGGGAAGGUGCCGAUUAUGUCUUUCUCCUCUGUUCCCUAAGGUGUGUAGUCGUAGGAGGAUGCCUAUUGCCCUCACUGUCAUAUCCCCAGCCCUUUGCCUUGCUGAGUCCUCAGUCACGAAUAAGUGAAUGAAUUUGCUGAGGUGCGGAGGAGAUUAAUACAUCUGAACAGGGCUGGAUAGUUUAUAGAAGACUCAAGAUCUUUAUCGUACAACCAGAGAAGGUAAGCAGGCCAAGGGUUAGACCCACAUGUUACAGUUGAAGAAACUGAGGCUCAGGGAGAUCAACAGUGGUCUGUAAGUGUUAACAGUGGUAGCUAAUCUCAUGCCAAUUCGGCUCUGCCAGGAAGAGUGAGCGGAGCAUUGGGCUCAUGAAGAAUCCGGCCUAUGUCAUGGGUGGAGUUACAAGUCUUUCUGAGAUUUUCCAAAGCAGCAGAGACUCUGCCUGCUCUGCUCCUGCUGUGCCUGGUAUGGGCUAUAUCCCAGUGCAUUUGUUUUUUUAGAUAAGUUUUUCCUCUCUUUUUUUCUUUUAAUUCAGCUGUAAUUGACAUCCAAGUGCACUUGUUUUUAAUUACUGACAGUUUCAACUUCAGGGCUGCCAUGAACAGCCACAAAGGUUACACACUGUGCAACUCCAGGGGACAGAUGCCAUUCACCAGGACAGCAGUGAAGAGGUAAGUCUCACUCUGAAGCUGGAGGUGACCCAAGGAGGAAUUGGGAAGCUUCCUCAUGCACUGGCUGGAGUAAAGAACUCUGCAGGAACCAAGGCUCCUGGACAGUCUCCGGUCUCCCUGGCAGGGUCCACGUUUGGAGUGUGAACAUUCAGGGGCUGAUCUUCACCCUUCUUAGGGGUAAAGGUAGGAAAGUCCUGGACAUAUAACCUCAGCUUUAAAACUUGAGGUAGUUAAGGAAAGGGAGCAAGACUUGGAACCCAGUAUAUUAUAGACUUGACUACAUAUAUAAGUAAUCAUUUAACCUUGAUAAUAAAGCUCUUUGAAUAAGCAUCAUCCACCCAUUUUACAGAUGACUUAACUGGACACACGGAAGUUAAUUAACUUGCCCAAAGGGCCACACAGCAAGGAAGUGGCAGAGCUGGAAUUCAAACUCUAGGCCCCCUAUGUUACCUCUGGAUGUAACCUGCAUUUUACAAGGAAAGUAGCUGAGGCCCAGAGAGGGGCAGUGACUUAUUCAGAGUCACACAGCUAGCUAAUCACUGAGUAAAUACUGAACCCAAGAAUCUAGACUGUCAGUCCCAACGUGAGCCUGUAAGGGUGGCUAGCCCAUCAAUUAGUAUUUUUAAUAAAAAUAAGUCUAGAGAGAGACCCAGGAUGGCUGGGACAGGAGAGCUGGGGAUGGGGCAUGUGUGGAGCAGAUGGUGAAGGGCAGGCACCAAGCCUCCGCAUUUUUGGCUCCGGUCUCUCUAAAAGGAACGCCCCUGUUCCCUCCAUUUCCAGAUGGCGGGUGGGGUCCCAUAGGGUGAGAGGUGCUGCGCCGCACUUGGCCUCUAGGUGGCGCCCGUACUGCAGAUCUGGACUCCCUUGGGCAGCCCGGGCCUCGGGAAUUGGUCUGUGCCCUGGGGGCUGCUCUGUCCCCAGAGUUUUCAGUACACCCUGGGCAACAGCUCCCCUUUCCCUCCUCCAGGCUUCUUCUACCCUGGCUUUGGCAGCGAAGGGUUGUCAGGGCCCACACUGGGAGCUCAUGCCUCAACUUGGUCCUCCCUUAGAAGCCCUCUGCAGCUCCAUGGGUGAGAACCUUCAGAGGGUCUAGUAGGUCCCCCAGAUGCUGCCCAUCUGCUCGACCUUGGGGAGUUUGCUCAGUCUCCUGGAGCCUCACUUUCCUCAUCUGUAGAAUGGAAGUGAGGUUUCUUUUGCCAGGAUGUUGAGAGGAUCAGAUGGAACAUUUUAUAAAAUGCCUAGCCCCUUGCACAUGCUCAGUGGAGGGAAACUAUUAGGAUUGUUCCAUGGUUGGUGGCUGCCUGUUGUUACUUUUGCCUGGCUGCUAUUUCUUCUUCACCUUUCUCACCUUGGUCCAUCAUACCACACCUUAUCCAUCACCAUCAGCCUCUUACCCAGCUCUUGUGGACCCAGUACCUCUUUGGAGAUGAUGCAGAAUAGUGAUUAAGCAGAAAGCUCUGGAGUCUUGCUGUCUAGGUUCAAAUCCUUCACUUUAGGACUCCCUGAGUGGUCUUGGUCAAGUUCCUUCGCUUCACUGCUGCAGAUUCUUGGUGUUUACCCACUACACAUUCCAGUCUCCUGACAGUUAGGUUGGAACCAUGUGACUGACUAGUUUUGGCCAGAGAAAUGGGAGCAGGAGUGAUGUGUGUGCUGCUCUAGGAAAUGUGGUUAAGAGCCUGUGUGGACAUCCUCUAUCCCUGUCUUGCCCUAUCACUGUGGCCUGUGUGGGACCACAGGGUUAUGGGUUUGUGUUGCAAUAUCCCACAGGGUUAUCAUGUAGGAGUAUAGUUCUGAGAUGGAAGUGCUCUGAGUCCCCAAAUCAGCCUCGGAGGAGAGCCAUACCCCUAGCCUUGCACUGUGUGUGAGCAAGAAGUAAACUUUUAUUGCCACAGAGACUUCAGAGUUUGUCUGUACUGACCAUAACCCAGUUUAACUUCACUGAUACAGCCUUCCUGUGCUUCAGUUUUCUCAUCAGUGAAAUGGGGACAAUGAGAGUGCUAUUCUCAUAGAAUCAUCGUGAGGAUUAAGGAAGACUGUGGGUGCAACCCUCUUAAGAUGUAAAAUUUUAGUUUUUAUUACCUUUUAGGAAGGUACAGAAAAGCACAAAAUGACUUUAGACUCUCAGAGCAGGAGGGACCCUGGGAGGACCUUGAAUUCACUCCUCAUGGUUACAUAAGACAGAGCCCAGAGACACAGGCUCAGGGGGAGAAAUACCUUGUUCAAAGUCAUUCAGGGAGAAAAGAGCAGACACAGGGCUGAAUCAUGGGUCUUCUGACGUCAGUCUAGAGUUCCUCUGGACAUACCUUGGUCCCUGCUUUCUGGGAGCUUACGAUUUGAUUGGAAACAAGACAGACAGACAUACAACAAAACCAUCACUGAAGAUUCCAUGUGGGAGUUGUCCAGAGAGUGAAGACCCUGAGGGUCAGAGGAGGACCUGGGGGUCUGCAGGGUGGGAAAGAAAGACUUCCAGGAGAUGGUGGGGCUUGGAAAAUGGGCUUCAGCAGAGAGCAAAGAGGGCAGUGAGCAGUGGCAGGAGAGAGGACCGGGGAUGGGGAAGUCUGAAGAGCCGAGUGGCCCACAGAAUAGAUGAGUCAAGGCAUGGUCUGCUGAACCAGUCCCCUGGUGAGGGGUCAUGUAGCCUCCCUCCCCACCUUCCCCCAUUAUAAACAGCACUGCACUAAACAUCUCUGUACCCAUCCCUGUGUAUCUGUGUAUUUUGCCAGCUGAGAUAGAGGCUUUGUGGGGAAGAGAGGUUGGGGUGAAGCCCAAAGAUAUAUUGGGCCUAAUUUCUUAGGUUUGGGGGCUUUGAACACCACUCUGAGGCUUCCUCUUAAUUCUUCACAUCAGGAGUCUUGAAAAUGGGAACAAGCUCUUUUCUGGGGUAGUUUGACUGCAAUAGGGCCCAGAGGUGGGAUGUGGAGCCGGGGGUGCGUGCCUCUCUUUACUGGACACUGGGUUUUCUGCUGUGUGACUGAUGGGGCCGGAGUGGGGCUCAGAGCCUGGAGAUAGCAGCUCUUGUUCAUUGCUGCCUGCCCCCCGAGUCCAGGCUGUGGAUGGGCCCAGGGGUAUUGCAUUCCUUGGUUCCACAGUCCGCAGCCAGAGUGGGCGGCACACAGGGCCCCAUUUUGGAAGGCCCAAGCCCGUUUUGAGCUCUGUUACCAUCCUUCUAUGGAAUGCACACUGGCAGAUUAACAAGAGGCAGGCAGCCCCUCUGUGUACCCACAUGGAAAGAGCUCCAGGAUAUAUUUUAAGAGCAAAAAAUCAAGUUAUAGAACAAUAUGUGAAGUAUGACUCUGUUUAUAAACAACAAAUAAUUCUUAAAAUUAUACACACACAUGCAACCUUAUUAUUCAAUUUUCCCCUCUAUUGACUGGUUCUAUCCAUCCAUUUAUGAUUCUUUUAGGGUUAGCCGAGAGCCAGAACAGCCAUCCUUGAUGUUUUAAUGUUUCCCACACAUCACAUUUUAACCCAUUUCCCGGACGAUGCAAGGCCUGUAGAACAUUCUCAUUCUGUUUACCCUCUCCCUGAUUCAUGUGCUGUUGGGCCAUGUAUUUUAAUUUUCUCUCUGUAUUUUGAACAUUGGUUGUAUUGUCUUAUACAACCAAGAUUCAUGUGUACUUCUCUGUAUUUCCCUUUCUGUCACCCCCUUUCCUUCCUGAAUAUCCAAGCUCCCAUCUGGGACCACUUUCCUUCUGCCUGAAGCUUCCCCUUAUAUUUAUUUUUGUAUUUGAACCAUUCAGAUGGUUCAAAAUUCAAAAGAAGAGAAGUGUUCUAUGAUUGAUGUCUCUCUCUCCCACCCCUGCCUAACCCCAGCCCCAAACUAUAUAUUUCCAUGUGUCCACAGAACAUUACUUGGCAGGAUAACACACCACAUCGAGAGGGGUAGCUUGUCUGUGGUCUGAAGCACCUGCCUUGAUAAUAUAUUCCCGUCUCCAGUGUGCAAGGAAAAGUCAGGGUCUGGGACCGGCAGCUGGGAGACCCGGUCUCUGCUGACCGACAGCCUCUCGCUGUGCCCGCCAGUGCGCACAGCCUCGCGGCCUUGUCUAGGCCCUCUUUAGAUCCUGGCCCCAGCCCUGUGGGCCAGGAGGGGCAAGGUUCCCCGUUCUCAGGACAGCUAACGACCAUGGCUUCCAGGCACCGAUUCAUACUCAUCAGCUCGUUCCCUCCUUUUGCAACUAUACGAGUACUGUCACCCUUUUACAGAUGAGCAAACUGAGAACUUCACAAGGCAGAGGCAGGAUUCAGGCUAAAUUCAAACAGCCCAGCUUCAGAGCCCAAGCAAUUACUAACUCCACUUUACAGAUGAGGAAACAGAGGCCCCAGAAGGUCGAGCCAUGCGCUCUGCUUCACAGUCAGGAGCAACAGAGCAAGAACUUGCAUCUGUGACUUUUGGGGUCAAUAUCCAUCCCCCUCCCCCUGAGACUAGUGGUUUUCCUGUGCGCAUUACAAUCACCCAGGGAGCUUUCAAAAAUGCCGUGUGCAGUUCUCAGCCAGACCAAUCAAAUCCAAAUCUCUGAUCCUGUUUUUACACUCUUAGCCCUCCUUCCAGGAGCUUCUGAAGUGCAGUCAGGGUUGAGAACCACUGUUCGGGCCCACACAUGGGCAGAGCUUGGGAUCUGACUGCUUGGAUUUCGUUUAAUUCAGACCUUGCUCCCCACGACCUUGGGCAACCUGCCUUUUCAUUUCUGUGCUGCCUCAGUUUUUUCAUCUGUCAGAUUGGUUCACUGGAGUGUCUUUUUCAUGUGAGGAUUGAAUGAGAUAAUCCAUGCAAAGCACUUGGAACAGUGUCUGGCACAAAAUCUGUUUUAAAUUAACGGUGUUAUUACUAUUAUUCUCUAUGUAGCUUUGUAGAAAGCUUACCCUUCUCCCUUCAGGUUUUCCAUCUGUGAAGGCACCUUGAGGUGUGGACUGCCUGGUCUUAAAGGCGUCUUCCAGCUCCAAUGUGCUCAUGUCAACGUUAGUUGGCGGGUCUCAAGCCUUUGCUGCCUCCCCCACUCUUUGAGAAGCCCAGCCCUGCCCAUUUUGCCUGGAGGUUGCAGCAAGCACAUGCCAGGAGAACUAGGGACCUGCUUCUGUGGGUUGAGUCCAGCCUCUGAUCAUGGUGUUGACGCCGCUCACAGCCAUGACAUGCUGGGCUGUAGGAAGAGAAAUUGCCCAUGGUUGGGGGUGGUGGAUGCAGCUCCAGUUGCCCCCAGAGAAAUACAGAGGGGCCUGGAUGGCAGGCCCCUCCAAGAGGCAGGGCGGGGGACCCUGGCAGAGCAGGGGACCCCAUGCCCACUUCCUACUAGUGCCCAGGGCACAUGGUGCCGGUCUUGCCACCAACUGCCAUUCUGCACCAAUGCAUAAUUCAUGCCCCCAUGUGCCAAUCUGUGCCAGCUUUAAUUAGCUCCUAACUUUUUGUCAUUCAUUUUGCUGUGAAUACCUUAUAAAUAAAUGAUGGGAGAGGGGAGCAGGGAGCGGGGCAGGAAUGUGAGGGGAGGAGCCUGGCUCCUUAGGCCUCGUGGGAGAGGGAUAAGCUUCCAUGGAGAGGCUAGGGAAGCCAUGCCCUCAGGGCACACCCUCCCACCCCCCCCCCCACCCCCGGGGACAGGCCCCGGCUAUGCAGAUGAGUGGUCCCAGCCCACCCCAUUCGCCUUCCAGCCUUGCUCGUUCACAAGCAGCAUCCAGCCGCCACAGCUGUGCCAGGCUCCGAGGGCCCACAAACUAAACUCAGGAGCACACAUGCUUGGUUUAUGGUGGCAGGCGCUGCCCCGGGAGAGGGGAGCCAGCGGGAUGCAGACAGGAAGCGACAAAGGGGCUCUGCCACAGCUCAGGGCUGGGAACCGAGGGGGCGGGCAGGGAGUGGGAGAGGGAGGCUGUUGUGGAGAGCGCCCAGAGGAGAGGCAUUUAUGUCCGUUAAAAAUAAUAAUCGGCCCUCACAGGGAUGAGGCUUGUUUGUGAGUGUUGUUUUGUUUUCACAGUUUAUAAAGCACUUGAGCAUGUGUUUUUCUCUUUCGUCCUGAAUGGCAACCUUGGGAGGCCCUCGGGGAGGCUGGGGGCUCAUUUACAACCGAGGAGACUGAGGCUCAGAGAAUUUAGCUAAGACCCAUUACACCCCCUGCCUCACCUCCAUUCUUGGGGAAGGAAGGAGGGGAGGAAAGCACCCCAGUCGGGGCUGGGGGACCCAGGGGGAAGCCAGUUCAGUCCCAGGUGGUUUAAUAGGCAGGACGGAUUUAAAAGAGCACACUUGGAUUCCCUUGGCUUCUUUCCUCCCAUUGUUUCUCACGAAGAGUGCCAGAGGGCCACCGGAGUAUUUGGCAUUUUAAGGAUAUAGAGACAGUGAAGCAGAGGUGCCCGUUCCUCCAAGAUGCCAGCCCAGGGCCACUGUGGGGCCAUGCAGUCUCUUCCUCUCCAUCUUUUAGCUCAUCAUACUCUUUAGUAUCAUCAGGCAUCAUAAGGGGCAUCUUUGCCUCCAAGCCCAGCCCCCUCUGGCUCCAGCAUCAUUUGCUGAGUGACCGCCAGGCCCAGGUGUGCCAGACCAGGCCCUUCAUGGUCCAGCCCAUGCCCCUCUCCUGAGACUCCUCUCUCACCCCUCCCAGCACAUCUUGGUCCAGCCCUACUGCUCCCCUACCUGAAGUCUCUAAACCAUGUGAUGCCCCCGUGACUUGGCACACACACAGCCCCUCUACCACAGAUGAGCUUGCUGACCUUAUCUGGCCAAA